AACCUGCCCUUCAGAGGGGGACGACAGUUGGAAACGACUGCUAAUACCGCAUAAUGUAUCCGGGAGGCAUCUCCUGGAUACCAAAGGAGAAAUCCGCUGAUGGAUGGGCUCACGUCUGAUUAGCUAGUUGGUGAGGUAACGGCUCACCAAGGCUGCGAUCAGUAGCCGGACUGAGAGGUUGAACGGCCACAUUGGGACUGAGAUACGGCCCAG
rnacentral:rRNA from 1 species